UACGUAGGGGGCAAGCGUUGUCCGGAAUCAUUGGGCGUAAAGCGCGCGUAGGCGGCCCGGUAAGUCCGUUGUGAAAGCCAAAGGCUCAACCUUUGAACGCCGAUGGAUACUGCCGGGCUAGAGUCCGGAAGAGGCGAGUGGAAUUCCUGGUGUAGCGGUGGAAUGCGCAGAUAUCUGGAGGAACACCGGUGGCGAAGGCGGCGUCCUGGACCAACACUGACACUGAUGAGCGAAAGCCAGGGGAGCAAACGGG
rnacentral:rRNA from 1 species